ensembl:snoRNA SNORD83 Small nucleolar RNA SNORD83
GCCAAAUGAUGUCAACCAGAUGGCACUAGCACUGUGUGCAAAGAUGACUGACAUCUAUCACCCAGUACUGAUGGCU